rnacentral:rRNA from 1 species
UUGAACGCUGGCGGCAGGCCUAACACAUGCAAGUCGAGCGGAGGCAGGGAGCUUGCUCCUGGAUUCAGCGGCGGACGGGUGAGUAAUGCCUAGGAAUCUGCCUGUUACUGGGGGAUAACGUCCGGAAACGGGCGCUAAUACCGCAUACGUCCUGAGGGAGAAAGUGGGGGAUCUUCGGACCUCACGCUAUCAGAUGAGCCUAGGUCGGAUUAGCUAGUUGGUGGGGUAAAGGCCUACCAAGGCGACGAUCCGUAACUGGUCUGAGAGGAUGAUCAGUCACACUGGAACUGAGACACGGUCCAGACUCCUACGGGAGGCAGCAGUGGGGAAUAUUGGACGAUGGGCGAGAGCCUGAUCCAGCCAUGCCGCGUGUGUGAAGAAGGUCUUCGGAUUGUAGAGCACUUUAAGUUGGGAGGAAGGACAGUAAGUUAAUACCUUGCUGUUUUGACGUUACCAACAGAAUAAGCACCGGCUAACUUCGUG